AUUACUUUGGCAGAAUAGUGUAUUGAAUUUAGAAUUCAAUUAUGUAAUUGAUUUACAAGUAAUA
rnacentral:tRNA from 1 species